CAGAAGUUUUCAGUCUACAAGCCAUGAAAUGACUUAGCCUCAGCUCUGAAGGAAAUCACAGCCAUAGUUGGAAAUCAUCUGCUCCGCCAUUAAUAGAGAGACAGAAUAUCACUGGUGAAAGAGAAAUCACAAUGGGAUCUGAUGGAGAAGGCCACACACAUCUGUAGGUCUUGGAUUUUUUGCUGCAUAGAGUAAUCAGAUGAGAGCUUGGGUGGUCUCCCUUGAUAAGGAGACACAGUUGGGAAAACAUGGCUUGGGAAGCAGAGACUUGGAGGAGGAGGAACUGUGUCCCUGGGGAAACCCGUCUUAUUGUGCUCCAACAGACAUCAAAGCCUGGAAGAUACCUGAACUAGAAAAUGGGAAGAAAAUUAUUCUCCUGGUGGCUUUUGUAAAUUCGUUUGUAUUCGGUGUAAUUGUCACCUGCUGCUUCGGUGGAACUCCCUGUCCCUUUCUGUUGGGCAGAAGGAAUGGGCCCAUCCGUAAUAGAUACGGAGAGGAAAACAAAGUGAUGACAACUCAGUGGGCAAGCAGGGCAAGAGCUGUUUCUGCAGAGAGCUUAGUAGCACAGCCCUAUUCACUUUUGCUGGGAUGUAUGCGUCUGGGACAUAAUGGGGCUGUGCAGAGAUAGCACUGGAACAGACUGAUAACCAAAACUGAAAUUUCAAAAGGGAGGCUACAAUCGAGCCAAUAAAAAGUGAAAGGGCUGCUUUAUAAUUCCCAGUUCUCCCAUUCUUAUUUUUUUCUGUUUUCCACAGGUUCCAAGCUGAAGAGUUUUAAAUGUGUCCAUGAAUUCAUUCAGUUCUUGCAUUUGUUUACUUAUAAAUACUGAUGCAUUGUUUACUUAUAAAUACUGAUGCAUUUCUCUCAUCAAUCCAAUACUCAUCCUUUGAACUACCACUCUGAACAAUACAGCACAAUCAAUAAUAAUUUUUAAUUUUUUCUCUGAUUACAAAAU
rnacentral:lncRNA from 1 species